rnacentral:rRNA from 1 species
UCCUACGGGAGGCAGCAGUGAGGAAUAUUGGACAAUGGGUGAGAGCCUGAUCCAGCCAUCCCGCGUGAAGGAUGACGGUCCUACGGAUUGUAAACUUCUUUUGUAUAGGGAUAAACCUCUCUACGUGUAGAGAGCUGAAGGUACUAUACGAAUAAGCACCGGCUAACUCCGUGCCAGCAGCCGCGGUAAU